GGGGGAUAUUGCACAAUGGGGGAAACCCUGAUGCAGCGACGCCGCGUGGAGGAAGAAGGUUUUCGGAUUGUAAACUCCUGUCGUUAGGGACGAUAAUGACGGUACCUAACAAGAAAGCACCGGCUAACUACGUGCCAGCAGCCGCGGUAAAACGUAGGGUGCAAGCGUUGUCCGGAAUUACUGGGUGUAAAGGGAGCGCAGGCGGACCGGCAAGUUGGAAGUGAAAACUAUGGGCUCAACCCAUAAAUUGCUUUCAAAACUGCUGGCCUUGAGUAGUGCAGAGGUAGGUGGAAUUCCCGGUGUAGCGGUGGAAUGCGUAGAUAUCGGGAGGAACACCAGUGGCGAAGGCGACCUACUGGGCACCAACUGACGCUGAGGCUCGAAAGCAUGGGUAGCAAACAGGAUUAGAUACCCUGGUAGUCCAUGCCGUAAACGAUGAUUACUAGGUGUUGGAGGAUUGACCCCUUCAGUGCCGCAGUUAACACAAUAAGUAAUCCACCUGGGGAGUACGACCGCAAGGUUGAAACUCAAAGGAAUUGACGGGGGCCCGCACAAGCAGUGGAGUAUGUGGUUUAAUUCGAAGCAACGCGAAGAACCUUACCAGGUCUUGACAUCCGAUGCAUAGCUUAGAGAUAAGUGAAGUCCUUCGGGACAUCGAGACAGGUGGUGCAUGGUUGUCGUCAGCUCGUGUCGUGAGAUGUUGGGUUAAGUCCCGCAACGAGCGCAACCCUUAUUGCCAGUUACUACGCAAGAGGACUCUGGCGAGACUGCCGUUGACAAAACGGAGGAAGGUGGGGAUGACGUCAAAUCAUCAUGCCCUUUAUGACCUGGGCUACACACGUACUACAAUGGCGUUUAACAAAGAGAAGCAAGACCGCGAGGUGGAGCAAAACUCAAAAACAACGUCUCAGUUCAGAUUGCAGGCUGCAACUCGCCUGCAUGAAGUCGGAAUUGCUAGUAAUCGCGGAUCAGCAUGCCGCGGUGAAUACGUUCCCG
rnacentral:rRNA from 2 species